ncrna:unclassified sequences RT-17 RNA
UACCGUGCCACUUGGCAAAACAUCAAAAUUCAUGGACUGUAUUAGUAGGUUGCACUCAUUUGUGCAAGUCGAAAGUUCGGUUCAGUGCAUACAG